UACGGGGGGAGCAAGCGUUGUUCGGAUUUACUGGGCGUAAAGGGCGCGUAGGCGGCACCGCAAGUCGACUGUGAAAUCUCCGGGCUUAACUCGGAAAGGUCAGCCGAUACUGCGGGGCUAGAGUGCAGAAGGGGCAACUGGAAUUCUCGGUGUAGCGGUGAAAUGCGUAGAUAUCGAGAGGAACACCUGCGGCGAAGGCGGGUUGCUGGGCUGACACUGACGCUGAAGCGCGAAAGCUAGGGGAGCGAACGGG
rnacentral:rRNA from 1 species